rnacentral:ncRNA from 1 species
AAUAUCAAGAAUUAGCCGAGGAAACUCAAGAAGUCCAAGAAGAGACGGCACAGCACUGACGGUGUAGAAGUAAUAACUGACUGUGAUACCAUUAAAGAGUUGUAAAUUGAAUAAAGGACGGUAGCCCCAUUUUGCUUAUUGCCAACGAUAUCACAACAAGCUAGACGAGACGCAACAAAGGUAGUAGUUAGAGAUGGGAACCAAGAUUCUCAUUCUUAAAAAGUCACGUAUCUAUCGAAACGCAAGUAAUUGUGCUAGCGUAAGCAACAACCAUAUAAUAGAAAAUGUGGUUGUACGGUAGGAGAGGGAGAAGAAGAGGGAGGAAAAAGUGACGCGCAUGAAUGGAUUAACGAGAUUCCCACUGUCCCUAACUACUAUCUAGCGAAACCACAGCCAAGGGAACGGGCUUGGUAAAAAUAGCGGGGAAAGAAGACCCUGUUGAGCUUGACUCUAGUUUGACAUUGUGAAGAGUCAUGAGAGGUGUAGCAUAGGUGGGAGACUUAUGUCGCCAAUGAAAUACCACCACUUUCAUCGAUUCUUUACUUAUUCGGUAAUGUGAGGAUUGGGCCAUCGGCUCUUUCUUCUUUGUGUUAAGUGAAGUCACCUGGUGACAUUACGACUCCCGUCGAAGACAAUGUCAGGCGGGGAGUUUGACUGGGGCGGUACAUCUGUCAAAUCGUAACGCAGGUGUCCUAAGGCUAGCUCAGAGAGGACGGAAACCUCUCGUAGAGCAAAAGGGCAAAAGCUCGCUUGAUCUUGACUUUCAGUACGAGUAC